rnacentral:lncRNA from 1 species
AGAACUAUCCUAUCCCUGAACCAGGCCCAAAUGAGGUCUUGCUGAGGAUGCAUUCUGUUGGAAUCUGUGGCUCAGAUGUCCACUAGCUUCGGGAACAGUCGAAAAAGUGGGAUCAUCGGUAAAGCACCUAAAACCAGGUGAUCGUGUUGCCAUCGAAUCUGGUGCUCCCCGAGAAAAUGAUGAAUUCUGCUUCCUGACAAUGUCACCUUUGAGGAAGGCGCCCUGAUUGAUCCACUUUCUUAGUCACUUUGCUCGUGGCCAAGGCAAUGGGAGCAGCUCAAGUAGUGGUGACUGAGCCGGAAGUCACCAUCGAGUGCACGGGGCAGAGGCCUCCAUCCAGGCAGGCAUCUACGCCACUCGCUCUGGUGGGACCCUCGUGCUUGUGGGGCUGGGCUCUGAGAUGACCACCGUACCCCUACUGCAUGCAGCCAUCCGGGAGGUGGAUAUCAAGGGCGUGUUUCGAUACUGCAACACGUGGCCAGUGGCGAUUUCGAUGCUUGCGUCCAAGUCUGUGAAUGUAAAA